UACGUAGGGGGCAAGCGUUGUCCGGAAUCAUUGGGCGUAAAGAGCGUGUAGGCGGCCCGGUAAGUCCGCUGUGAAAGUCCAGAACUCAACCCUAAAAUGCCGGUGGAUACUGUCGGGCUCGAGUCCGGAAGAAAAGUGUGGAAUUCCUGGUGUAGCGGUGAAAUGCGCAGAUAUCAGGAGGAACACCAAUGGCGAAGGCAGCACUCUGGGACGUGACUGACGCUGAGACGCGAAAGCGUGGGGAGCAAACAGG
rnacentral:rRNA from 1 species